GGCUGACAGAAUACGGAGCAAAACAGCUUUCCGUGCGGCCUGGCUCUGAACUCGACCAUGCACGUGAAGCAGUCCCAGGCACACGGAUAGAUGAAGACCCCAAACAGGGAAAGAACAGGAUCCUUAGAAUUCAAGUAAUUUUUACAGGGUCAUACAGUGGCCAAACCAAGAUUGGAAUCUACUUUUCUGAGGGUUCCUAGACUUUUCUCAUCAGAAUCAAUGACUGGAUGGCAGUAUGCUGAUGUGGAGGUCCAUACUGGUCACCAGAGCAUAUGGAUGGGAAACCCAGCUGGAAAUCAUUGACAGUUUUUGACAAGG